GGGGACCAGCUGGGUCCCAGUCUGGAGCUUCAGGGCAGAGAUGAGCUGUAGGGUGACCAGCUGGGUCCCAGUCUGGGCAGCAGGGCAGAGAUGAGCUGUAGGGGGACCAGCUGGGUCCCAGUCUGGGGCUUCAGGGCAGAGAUGAGCUGUAGGGGGACCAUGAUGAAUCCC